rnacentral:lncRNA from 10 species
CAAGUAUCCGCAGAGAUUGUGAUGGUGGCUACGCACAUUGGCCUCCACUGCGUUUCGAAGCGACGCCCUUGACUGAGGAGUGUUUUUAAUAAUCAUCUGGCCGACUUGGAAGCUGGAGGCCGAAGGCAUAGCUGUCAAUUUUCUUGCGUUCCUUCUGCUUCCUCGGGGCAGAGAUGGUGAAAUCUACUUGUUAGGACAGUUGCAAACCCGAUUGCAGUCUGGGCUCUGGAUGCUGAAAUUAUCCUGUGAUGAUUCAUCAUCUUUAACAGAAAGCCGAGGUUACAGAGCCCAGAGUGAUUUUUGACGUUCCACAAUAUUCCACGAACAUUUUCUGAUUGCUCACUAUAUGCAUAGAUUGACUGAGUCUCUGGGGGAAAGAUGUAGAAGACAGGAGUUCUAAACCCUAGGAAGUGCAUCACCGGUAGUGGCGCCGGCUGUAGUCCCAGCUACUUGGGAGGAAACCAGAUCCUUAAGUCAUUUCUCUCUGCCUCUCUCUCUCUCUCUCUCUC